UGGAUAUAUUUUCCUGUAAAUACGGCGGUGAAGUUAGUUUUAGGUUGGAUAUAUUUUCCUGUAAAUACGGCGGUGAAGUUAGUUUCAGGUUGGAUAUAUUUUCCUGUAAAUACGGCGGUGAAGUUAGUUUCAGGUUGGAUAUAUUUUCCUGUAAAUACGGCGGUGAAGUUAGUUUCAGGUUGGAUAUAUUUUCCUGUUAAUACAGUGGUGAAGUUAGUUUUAGGUUGGAUAUAUUUUCCUGUAAAUACGGCGGUGAAGUUAG